rnacentral:rRNA from 1 species
UACGUAGGGUGCGAGCGUUAAUCGGAAUUACUGGGCGUAAAGCGUGCGCAGGCGGUGAUGUAAGCCAGUUGUGAAAUCCCCGGGCUCAACCUGGGAACUGCAUCUGUGACUGCAUCGCUGGAGUGCGGCAGAGGGGGAUGGAAUUCCGCGUGUAGCAGUGAAAUGCGUAGAUAUGCGGAGGAACACCGAUGGCGAAGGCAAUCCCCUGGGCCUGCACUGACGCUCAUGCACGAAAGCGUGGGGAGCAAACAGG